rfam:Felis catus isolate Cinnamon breed Abyssinian chromosome B1, whole genome shotgun sequence.
GCCUGGGUGGCUCAGUUGGUUAAGCGUCUGACUUCAACUCUGGUCAUGACCUCACGGUUUGUGAGUUCAAGCCUCGCAUCAGGCU